GGUAAAAGUCAUCGCCAUUCUCUAAUCUUGAGUACCCAGGGACACGAUACACUGCGGAAGGCUGCAGGGACCUCUGCCCAGGAAAGCCAGGUGGUUUCCAAAAGGAAAAGCUUUGGGAGAUAGAAGUCCUCGUUUUGACCUCUGCCCUCCUUGUACACCAGGAGCCAGAAAAACUUCAUCUCUUUUACAAGAAACAUUGAGAUUCCUGUAAAAUUAAGAAAUCACACAAUUUGAUGGUCUACAUUAUCUAAAGCAAAUGAGACUUCUAUUUGGAACAAAGACUACCUUGUUGGGAAAUGAGUCUGCAAGUUAAAGUGUUUUCUGUUUUCUAAGGAUAAUGGUCUCCAGCUUCGUCAAUGUUCCUGCAAAGGACAUGAUGCUGACUUUGAAGAUGCAAGCUUCCACAUCUACAGCCUCAAGGAAACAAAUUCAGCCAACCAACUGAGGGAGCUUUCCUUGUCCUGCCUCAAGAUGAGAUCACAGUCUGCCCAACACCAUGAUUUAGGCCUUGUGACACCUGAGCUCAGAUGGAAAAGAAUGGUGUUACUGAGACCCUUCAAGAUUCCCAGUGUAAUUCAAUAAAGAAAAGGCAACACAAAGGGGUUGUAUAGAAUUCGCCACAUUAUGGACCCAUGUCAUAGAGAGAAUCCACGGUGCAUUUGUUAGCUGCAUUUAAAUGACAACACUUUCAGAUCCAAGAUUUAUUUGGGAUAAAAAUUUACCUGGAUGCAAGGCUAUUCAGAAUGAAGAUUAAUGAUAUGGUUUGGCUGUGUCCCCACCCAAACUUCAUCUUGAAUUCCCACGUGUUGUGAGAGGGACCUGGUGGGAGAUAAUUGAACCAUGGGGGCAGGUCUUUCUCAUGCUGUUCUCAUGAGAGUGAAUAAGUCUCAUGAAACCUGAUGGUUUUAUAAGGGGGAAUUUCCCUGCACAAGCUCUCUCUCUGCCUUUUGCCAUCCAUGUAAGACGUGACUUGGUCCUCCUUGCCUUCUACCAUGAUUAUGAGGCCUCCCCAGCCACGUGGAACUGUGAGUCCAUUAAACCUCUUUCUUUUGUAAA
rnacentral:lncRNA from 1 species